rnacentral:rRNA from 1 species
GUGGGGAAUCUUGCGCAAUGGGCGAAAGCCUGACGCAGCAACGCCGCGUGCGGGAUGACGGCCUUCAAGGUUGUAAACCGCUUUCAGCAGGGACGAAAAUGACGGUACCUGCAGAAGAAGCCCCGGCUAACUACGUGCCAGCAGCCGCGGUAAUACGUAGGGGGCAAGCGUUGUCCGGAUUCAUUGGGCGUAAAGAGCUCGUAGGCGGUUCAGUAAGUCGGGGGUGAAAGCUCCGAGCUCAACUCGGAGAGGCCACCCGAUACUGCUGUGACUUGAGUACAGUAGGGGAGCGUGGAAUUCCUGGUGUAGCGGUGAAAUGCGCAGAUAUCAGGAGGAACACCAGCGGCGAAGGCGGCGCUCUGGGCUGUAACUGACGCUGAGGAGCGAAAGUGUGGGUAGCAAACAGGAUUAGAUACCCCUGUAGUCC